rnacentral:rRNA from 1 species
CGUGUCGUGAGAUGUUGGGUUAAGUCCCGCAACGAGCGCAACCCUUGGUUCUAGUUGCCAGCAUUCAGUUGGGCACUCUAGAGCGACUGCCGGCGACAAGUCGGAGGAAGGUGGGGAUGACGUCAAAUCAUCAUGCCCCUUAUGACCUGGGCUACACACGUGCUACAAUGGAUGGUACAAAGGGCAGCGAAGCGGCGACGCAUAAGCGAAUCCCAGAAAACCAUUCUCAGUUCGGAUUGCAGGCUGCAACUCGCCUGCAUGAAGCCGGAAUCGCUAGUAAUCGCGGAUCAGCAUGCCGCGGUGAAUACGUUCCCGGGCCUUGUACACACCGCCCGUCACACCACGAGAGUUUGUAACACCCGAAGUCGGUGAGGUAACCUUUUAGAGCCAGCCGCCGAAGGUGGGACAGAUGAUUGGGGU